UACGGGGGUGGCGAGCGUUACUCGGAUUUAUUGGGUGUAAAGGGCAGGUAGGCGUUCCAUUAAGUUAGAAGUGAAAUCCUAAGGCUCAACCUUAGAACUGCUUUUAAAACUGAUGGAAUUGAGGAUAGAAGAGGAGAGUGGAAUUCCCGGUGUAAGAGUGAAAUCUGUAGAUAUCGGGAGGAACACCAGUGGCGAAGGCGACUCUCUGGUCUAUAUCUGACGCUAAGCUGCGAAAGCUAGGGGAG
rnacentral:rRNA from 1 species